rnacentral:rRNA from 1 species
CAGCGGAGCGUGUGGUUAAUUCGUUGCUACACGAAGAACCUUACCUGGGUUUGACAUAUAGGUUGUAGGGAACUGAAAGGGACCGACCUUCGGGGAGCCUAUACAGGUGUUUGCAUGGCUGUCGUCAGCUCGUGUCGUGAGAUGUUCGGUUAAGUCCGCUAACGAGCGCAGCCCUCGUCGUAUGUUAUAUGUGUCAUACGAGACUGCCGGUAAAAGCCGGAGGAAGGUGAGGAUGAUGUCAAGUCAGCAUGACCUUUAUAUCCAGGGCUACACACACGCUACAAUGGUCUGUACAAUGGGUAGCCAAGCCGCGAGGCGGAGCCAAUCCUGAAAGCAGGCCUCAGUUCAGAUUGCAGUCUGCAACUCGACUGCAUGAGGCCGGAGUUGCUAGUAACCGCAGGUCAGCAAUACUGCGGUGAAUACGUUCCCGGGUCUU